CACAAACAACAAAUUGGGUAAUGUGUUUUAUAAUCAAUUAACACAAAGAUGGUCGCUAAAUCGGGUCGGUCGGGUUGUUUUACUAUAUAGGUAGGUACAACUCUGCGCAUCGGGUACAUGUUGCAAAAUUCGUACCGCCGCGUGCGUGGUGCACAAGGUGGUACACAAGUACAACUCAAAUGAUACAACAAUAUAGGCAACUUAUAUGUACUACAUAAAGUAAUUCCGGAAACGAGAAGGAACCGAGUAUUGAAACCGAUGAUAAGUAGGUAUGUUUGCUUAUGCGGCUUACAAGAAAAUGUUCAUGGAGGAUAAGGCGUAGCUCUUAGAAUAAAAAAAGCUAAAUUGUUGUCAGAAAACAAUAAACUUUAUGGAACAGCCAAUAGUCUCGACACUGCGCUUGAAAAUGUGUUCACAAUGGGACAAAUAAGGAAACUGCUUAAUCCACAGAACAAAGUAGUUCACUGUGGUCGCCAACAGAUAUUGCUUCUGCAAUUUCGUUGCGCAGUGUAAGACCUAAAGCAACAACCCACCAUCAUCUAUUGAAGUUUGCCAGAAAUCAUAUAUUUGCCCAAGGUUGGAAAUUAUUUCCUGUAUGACUAUAGGUAAACAUCAGGCGUAUGGGACUAAAUUGGAAAAUCAGAAUAGCCUUUUAAAAAACGUUUCUGUCGCAACUGCGGAAUUAAGAGUAGGGAAGCAUAAAUUCCUUAUUCCAUUUUAGAAGGGAAUUAUUCUUACGAAUAAAUCAUUAGUUGGCCUUUAUGACUACCUACAUGAAAAAUAUAAUAUUGAGUAUAGUUUGACCUAGAGUUUGACUUUCCGAUUCAAUCAAGAUGCCCUAGAAACUUUUCCAUGUAUUAAGAGGCAUAGGAGGUUCGAAUUAUUACCCGUCAACUUAUUGGACUUUUAAACAUCGAUUGAAAUGGUUUCUUUUGGGGAAGAAGUCCGCCUCUAUCUUCACAAAUAAACAAAAUACCAUGAGAAGUAUGGAACUAAGCUUUUUAAAUGGCUAAGUUUACACACCUUCACGCCUCCACCUAAUGAAGCCGAUAUGGAAAUUUGUGUGACACAAAGUAGGUGUGGUCUCCAAUAUUAUGUAUAAUUCCCCUACCCGAACUAUAGAUGGGGAGCAGCUAAUGAAUUACACAUUCGUGGAUCUGGAAGAUUCUGAGCAAGUGAGUGAAUUACCAAGUAAUAUUGAGGGCUCAGCCCAUGAUGUUGGGGGCGGAAAAAAGCACACAUGGUCGUUUUUACCGGUGCCGAAAUAUGGGAUGUUGUUUGAAAAAUAUCCAAAAAUCGCUCUUUAAACUAAACUGCAUUAGGUACAUUUUUUCACUGAGACAUAGACAGCGCCGGCAAUUCCAGUAGUGCGCAAAGGCUCAAGGCCUCAAGCACCAGACGGAAAACAAAGUGGUGGUGCUUAGCACUACACGCGCAACAAACUACACACUCUUACCAUCCCUGCUUCGACUUGUACGGCAGAAAGAUCUUUUUCUGCACUUCGCAGGCUGAAGACCUAUUUGCGUUCGAAUUUAAGGCAAGAUCGACUCAAUCAUGUAGC